GACACUAAGUACUUGCUGUACUUCUGGUGUACUUUACGACCGCAGUGUGGCAGCUGAUGUGAGGGAGCGCCUGCUGUUUUCCACACUUUACUGUUGAAGACAUCGGAAGUCACCGCGGAAGCGGCGCAGGGUUGCAACUGCAGCCCAGGCUAACCUGAAACUCACUCUGCGGCCCAGCUGGAAAGCAUCCUGCUUCUGCUUGGUUGCAUCCGUGGGCACACCCGACCCUGCCCGGCAGUCACUAUUGUAGCAUGCAGAGUCCACUGCCGGAGAGGACCAUCGAUGUCUUUUCUUCGUCAGCCACCUGCACAGAACCUUGGUGCUAUGGAAGCUAGCUGUCAGGGAAGAAAUGCCCAGGGAGGCUGUGUGUGAAUCUGCUAAUUGGAUGGCAAAGGAGAAAGAAGCCGGAAGCGUGACCCCUUCGGAGAGGAAAUUCUUUACUUGCAGGAUUUUGAUGACAAAAACAAUAAGUGUUUCAUGGAUGAUGACCCUGCUCUCCUUAUUCCACACGAAGACAGAAGAGACUUAAAACCAACUUAAAUUGAAUCUCACCUCCAGUGUUAUCAAGAGAGACGGCUUGUUAGAGGUCUCUAGGCUAACUAUGCCUAUUACAAGGAUUUGUGUAGCAAAGACAGGCUCCAAGAGCCUUGAGGUCUGCUCUGUAGCUGUGUGUAUGUGUGUGUAUGUGUGUGUGUAUGUGUAUCUAUCUAUCUACCUACCUAUCUAUCUUUUUUUGGGGGGGGAGCAGGGUCUCAUGUAGCCUAUGCUGGCCUCAAAUUAGCUAUGCCAAGUGUGACCUUGAAUUAAUUUUCCUGCCUCCAUCUCUUAAGUAAUGAGAUUCUAGGUGUGCAUCACCAUACUGAGAUUAAAAAUAUAUAUAUAAGUCUUAUUCUGUGUCCUAGAAUAAUGGCCAGGAAUUUACUUUGUAUCAUGGACUAUUUUUGAACUUAGGGUGAUUCCCCUGCCUCAGCCUCUCAAGCACUGGGAUUAAAAGUG